rnacentral:rRNA from 1 species
AUUGAACGCUGGCGGCAUGCUUUACACAUGCAAGUCGAACGGCAGCGCGGGCUUCGGCCUGGCGGCGAGUGGCGAACGGGUGAGUAAUACAUCGGAACGUGCCCAGUAGUGGGGGAUAGCUCGGCGAAAGCCGGAUUAAUACCGCAUACGACCUGAGGGUGAAAGCGGGGGAUCUUCGGACAUCGCGCUAUUGGAGCGGCCGAUGGCAGAUUAGCUAGUUGGUGGGGUAAAGGCCUACCAAGGCGACGAUCUGUAGCUGGUCUGAGAGGACGACCAGCCACACUGGGACUGAGACACGGCCCAGACGCCUACGGGAGGCAGCAGUGGGGAAUUUUGGACAAUGGGCGAAAGCCUGAUCCAGCAAUGCCGCGUGUGUGAUGAAGGCCUUCGGGUUGUAAAGCACUUUUGGCGGGAACGAAAAGGACUGUGCCAAUACCACGGUUCGAUGACGGUACCCGCAGAAUAAGCACCGGCUAACUACGUG